UGCGAUAGUUAACAUGAUGGUGCCUCAAUCUCGAGUCUGCGUGAGUGGAUGCGAUCUUGAGGAUAAUAGGGAACACGGUGCAAAACCGUGACUGCCCCCGCAACUGUAAGCGGUUAGCCUGUCGUCCGAUACCACUGGGAAUUUCGUUUCCUGGGAAGGUGACGAUAGGUCAGCGAGCCGCGAGCCAGGAAACCUGCCAUCGCACGAUCAAUUUCG
rnacentral:ncRNA from 19 species